AGGGUGGCUAGCUGCCCCGUGGAAGAAGCUACAAGAUAUCAACGAGCCGCUGUAAUAAAGCAGAAGUAUUUGACACUGAGAGUCUAGUGUGAUCAGUCUGCCUGCCUCUGUGAUCCCCCGCAGCACUGGCUGGAAGUCCGCCGCGUGUCAGUGAGGAGCUGCUGCAGAAGGAAGAAGAAGAAGCGGCGUGGGGACCUGGGAGGCAGGAGCAAGCAAGAAGAGGAAGCGGAAGCGUGCAGAUGCGGGGGGGAAGGAGAGAGGCUCCCUGGGCAAAGCACCUGUCCCGUUAGCAGGGGCACAGUCACGUUUGAGUUGAGAGCUGCCGGCGCCUUUGGUGACCAGGCUGGCGUUGUGCUGGGCGACCUCCCCGUAAGCGGGGCUCGGGUCUUUGCUGUAGUUGGCCUUUUGCCUUGCUGCUCCUUUGGCUGCCUGGGGAGCGUGGCCCCCUGUAACGGAGGGCGAGAGCCACCUCUCCGCACCUGAGUGGGAAAUGGAGCU
ensembl:lncRNA